rnacentral:rRNA from 1 species
GAACGCUAGCUACAGGCUUAACACAUGCAAGUCGAGGGGCAGCAUGGUCUUAGCUUGCUAAGGCCGAUGGCGACCGGCGCACGGGUGAGUAACACGUAUCCAACCUGCCGUCUACUCUUGGACAGCCUUCUGAAAGGAAGAUUAAUACAAGAUGGCAUCAUGAGUCCGCAUGUUCACAUGAUUAAAGGUAUUCCGGUAGACGAUGGGGAUGCGUUCCAUUAGAUAGUAGGCGGGGUAACGGCCCACCUAGUCUUCGAUGGAUAGGGGUUCUGAGAGGAAGGUCCCCCACAUUGGAACUGGGACACGGUCCAAACUCCUACGGGAGGCAGCAGUGAGGAAUAUUGGUCAAUGGGCGAGAGCCUGAACCAGCCAAGUAGCGUGAAGGAUGACUGCCCUAUGGGUUGUAAACUUCUUUUAUAAAGGAAUAAAGUCGGGUAUGCAUACCCGUUUGCAUGUACUUUAUGAAUAAGGAUCGGCUAACUCCGUGCCAGCAGCCGCGGUAAUACGGAGGAUCCGAGCGUUAUCCGGAUUUAUUGGGUUUAAAGGGAGCGUAGAUGGAUGUUUAAGUCAGUUGUGAAAGUUUGCGGCUCAACCGUAAAAUCGCAGUUGAUACUGGAUAUCUUGAGUGCAGUUGAGGCAGGCGGAAUUCGUGGUGUAGCGGUGAAAUGCUUAGAUAUCACGAAGAACUCCGAUUGCGAAGGCAGCCUGCUAAGCUGCAACUGACAUUGAGGCUCGAAAGUGUGGGUAUCAAACAGGAUUAGAUACCCUGGUAGUCCACACGGUAAACGAUGAAUACUCGCUGUUUGCGAUAUACGGCAAGCGGCCAAGCGAAAGCGUUAAGUAUUCCACCUGGGGAGUACGCCGGCAACGGUGAAACUCAAAGGAAUUGACGGGGGCCCGCACAAGCGGAGGAACGUGUGGUUUAAUUCGAUGAUACGCGAGGAACCUUACCCGGGCUUAAAUUGCAGAUGAAUUACGGUGAAAGCCGUAAGCCGCAAGGCAUCUGUGAAGGUGCUGCAUGGUUGUCGUCAGCUCGUGCCGUGAGGUGUCGGCUUAAGUGCCAUAACGAGCGCAACCCUUGUUGUCAGUUACUAACAGGUUCCGCUGAGGACUCUGACAAGACUGCCAUCGUAAGAUGUGAGGAAGGUGGGGAUGACGUCAAAUCAGCACGGCCCUUACGUCCGGGGCUACACACGUGUUACAAUGGGGGGUACAGAGGGCCGCUACCACGCGAGUGGAUGCCAAUCCCCAAAACCUCUCUCAGUUCGGACUGGAGUCUGCAACCCGACUCCACGAAGCUGGAUUCGCUAGUAAUCGCGCAUCAGCCACGGCGCGGUGAAUACGUUCCCGGGCCUUGUACACACCGCCCGUCAAGCCAUGGGAGCCGGGGGUACCUGAAGUGCGUAACCGCGAGGAGCGCCCUAGGGUAAAACUGGUGACUGGG